AAAAUAACGCGCAACGCACGGUUAUUUUUUUUCCAAUUUUUUUCGUACGGGCGCCGACUCGUCGAUCGAGCGUCAGCGUAAGCUUCUCUCCUCCGCCCGUCACCCUGAAGCUGGUUAUAAGCGGGCCCGUUAGCGAGAGCGAGCCGGGUCCCGCAUAGCGGUGACGGAGAGGAAAUUUGGCCGCCGCCGAGAGCAAGGCGGCGUCGCGGACGUCCCGAGACGAACACGGACAACGGCGCGGCUUGUGCUUAAGACCACGGGGCCACCGGGCGCAACACGCAAACCGCCGAGCGAGCGAUUCGGUGAGCGCCGGAUUUUACGGCCGCGAAGGUCCAGAGCGCGUCGCAAGAGCAAGCGACGCGAUUGUUUUGACACUAGCCGACCCUCACACAGACGAACUCUAUCAUGACCCUUUCAUCUCGCUUCUCGUUUGGGUCUUUGCUCCCCUUGUUGUGGGGUCUCUGGUAGUGCUGUCGGGCAGCAACACCGGACCCUCUCCACC
rnacentral:misc_RNA from 1 species